rnacentral:rRNA from 1 species
AUAAAUGCGAAUUAAUUUGUUUGGUUAAAUUUCAGUUAUUUUAUUUUAAUGAUUUUAAUUAUUUUGUUUUUAGGUGAAAUUUAAAUUUUUACAUAAUUUUUUUUUAUAUCUGAUAAAAUCAUAAUUUAAAGUGGGAUUAGAUACCCUAUUAUUUUGUUUGUAAAAAAAUUUUGCUAGGGUAGUAUUAGUUAUGUUCUUUAAACCUAAAGGAUUUGGCGGUAUUUUAUUCUUAUCAGAGGAACUUGUCCUUUAAUCGAUAAUCCUCGUUUUAUCUUUCUUUAAUUAAUGUAUGUAUACCUCCGUUAAAAGUUUAUGUUUUUAGAUUAUUAAAUUUACUUUUUAUUUUAUUAUAUUAUAUUUC